UGCCCCUUUUAAGGUUGGUGCUAUACUUUAGAAAGGCUAACACAGCAGAGUAAAGGAAUUCUCCAUAAAACCCAGGGAGAAGACUAUAUGCCUCCUGUUUGAAUCUUUAUCUGGGUUCAUGGCC
rnacentral:snoRNA from 1 species